rnacentral:rRNA from 1 species
GCAGUCGACGGCAGCACGGACUUCGGUCUGGUGGCGAGUGGCGAACGGGUGAGUAAUAUAUCGGAACGUGCCCAGUCGUGGGGGAUAACGUAGUGAAAAUUACGCUAAUACCGCAUACGAUCUAAGGAUGAAAGCGGGGGAUCGCAAGACCUCGCGCGAUUGGAGCGGCCGAUAUCAGAUUAGGUAGUUGGUGGGGUAAAGGCUCACCAAGCCAACGAUCUGUAGCUGGUCUGAGAGGACGACCAGCCACACUGGAACUGAGACACGGUCCAGACUCCUACGGGAGGCAGCAGUGGGGAAUUUUGGACAAUGGACGCAAGUCUGAUCCAGCCAUUCCGCGUGCAGGACGAAGGCCUUCGGGUUGUAAACUGCUUUUGUACAGAACGAAAAGGUUUCUAUUAAUACUAGGGGCUCAUGACGGUACUGUAAGAAUAAGCACCGGCUAACUACGUGCCAGCAGCCGCGGUAAUACGUAGGGUGCAAGCGUUAAUCGGAAUUACUGGGCGUAAAGCGUGCGCAGGCGGUUAUAUAAGACAGAUGUGAAAUCCCCGGGCUCAACCUGGGAACUGCAUUUGUGACUGUAUAGCUGGAGUGCGGCAGAGGGGGAUGGAAUUCCGCGUGUAGCAGUGAAAUGCGUAGAUAUGCGGAGGAACACCGAUGGCGAAGGCAAUCCCCUGGGCCUGCACUGACGCUCAUGCACGAAAGCGUGGGGAGCAAAC